GCUACGGGUGGCAGCAGUGAGGAAUAUUGGUCAAUGGGCGGGAGCCUGAACCAGCCAAGUCGCGUGAGGGAAGACGGUCCUAUGGAUUGUAAACCUCUUUAGGCGGGGAGCAAUGCCGGGCACGCGUGCCCGGAGGGAGAGUACCCGCAGAAUAAGCAUCGGCUAACUCCGUGCCAGCAGCCGCGGUAAUACGGAGGAUGCGAGCGUUAUCCGGAGGUAGUGGGGUAAAAGGGUGCGUAGGCGGAUUUUUAAGUCAGCGGUAAAAUGUCCGGGAUAAAACCGGGCCGGACGGUGAAACGGGGGAUCUUGAGUGUGCGAGAAGUAUGCGGAUGGCGUGGUGUAGCGGUGAAAGGCAUAGAUAUCUCGCGGAACUCCGAUUGCGAAGGCGGCAUACCGGCGCCCGACUGACGCGGAGGCACGAAAGCGUGGGGAUCGAACAGGAUUAGAUACCCCAGUAGUC
rnacentral:rRNA from 1 species